AUGAGCGUUUCUCAGCUCCUUCUCCCCGAGAGGCAACAGGGGAGGGUGGUCCCGGUUCCCUGCAAUGGAGACGGUGCUGGAAGCGAUGGAGGAGUGGAGGAGAUGUAUAAACAUGGAGGCAGCAUGCCUAAUUAAUGACCUGAAACAGCGGGAAAGAGGAAAUCGGUUCAUUGGCUCGAGCAUUCAGCACAGCGAUUGAGAGCAGCCUGGAUCUGGAGCAUCAAGUGAGCAUCACUAGAACCAUCUGAAACCGAGAGGAAAGAGGCUGCAAGUGAGGAAGGGGGGCUGGAGGCCGUGUGCUCUGCAG